rnacentral:rRNA from 1 species
UACGUAGGGUGCGAGCGUUAAUCGGAAUUACUGGGCGUAAAGUGUGCGCAGGUGGCCGCGCAAGUCGAGUGUGAAAUCCCCGAGCUUAACUUGGGAAUUGCGCUCGAAACUACGUGGCUCGAGUGUGGCAGAGGAAGGUGGAAUUCCACGUGUAGCGGUGAAAUGCGUAGAGAUGUGGAGGAACACCGGUGGCGAAGGCGGCGUUCUGGACUGUUUCUGACACUGAGGAACGAAAGCCAGGGGAGCAAACGGG